rnacentral:rRNA from 1 species
CCCGACUGCUAUUUGGGUGAGACUAAGCCAUGCGAGUUGAAUGGAAUACCUAUAUUUUCCAUAGCAAACUGCUCAGUAACACAUGAUCAACUUGCCCUAUGGAGAAAAAUAACCUCGGGAAACUGAGGAUAAUGUUUCAUAGUUGAAAAGGCUUGGAAAAGUUUUUCAAUGAAAAGGGUUAGGAAAAUGGUCCUUACCCGCCAUAGGAUAGGAUCGUGGGCGAUUAUGGUUGUUGGUGAGGUAACGGCUCACCAAGCCGAUAAUCGCUAGGGGCCGUGAGAGCGGGAGCCCCGAGAUGGGUACUGAGACAGCGACCCAGGCCUUACGAGGCGCAGCAGGCGCGGAACCUCCGCAAUACACGAAAGUGUGACGGGGUUACCCAAAGUGUCCAAUUUAGGACUGUGGUAGGUGAGUAAUGUUCCCUACUAGAAAGGAGAGGGCAAGGCUGGUGCCAGCCGCCGCGGUAAAACCAGCUCUUCAAGUGGUCGGGAUAAUAUUGGGCUUAAAGUGUCCGUAGCCGGUUUGGUAAGUUCCUGGUAAAAUCGGGUAGCUUAACUAUCUGCAUGCUAGGAAUACUGCUAUACUAGAGGGCGGGAGAGGUCUGAGGUACUACAGGGGUAGGGGUGAAAUCUUAUAAUCCUUGUAGGACCACCAGUGGCGAAGGCGUCAGACUGGAACGUGCCUGACGGUGAGGGACGCGAAAGCCAGGGGAGCGAACCGGAUUAGAUACCCGGGUAGUCCUGGCCGUAAACGAUGCAUACUAGGUGAUGGCACGGCCAUGAGCCGUGUCAGUGCCGAAGGGAAACCGUUAAGUGUGCCGCCUGGGAAGUACGGUCGCAAGGCUAAAACUUAAAGGAAUUGGCGGGGGAGCACCACAAGGGGUGAAGCCUGCGGUUCA